AAAAAAGGUAAGCUACUAAGAGCGAAUGGUGGAUGCCUUGACUGGUAAAGGCGAUGAAGGACGUACUAGACUGCGAUAAGCUACGGGGAGCUGUCAAGAAGCUUUGAUCCGUAGAUUUCCGAAUGGGGCAACCCAAUGUAUAGAGAUAUACAUUACCUAUAUAGGAGCGAACGAGGGGAAUUGAAACAUCUUAGUACCCUCAGGAAAAGAAAUCAAUAGAGAUUGCGUCAGUAGCGGCGAGCGAAAGCGCAAGAGGGCAAACCCAGUGCUUGCACUGGGGGUUGUAGGACUGCAAUGUGCAAGAGGUAAGUUUAGCAGAACAUUCUGGAAAGUAUAACCAUAGAGGGUGAUAGUCCCGUAUGCGAAAAACAAACCUUAGCUAGCAGUAUCCUGAGUAGGGCGGGACACGAGGAAUCCUGUCUGAAUCCGGGUCGACCACGAUCCAACCCUAAAUACUAAUACCAGAUCGAUAGUGCACAAGUACCGUGAGGGAAAGGUGAAAAGAACUGAGGUGAUCAGAGUGAAAUAGAACCUGAAACCAUUUGCUUACAAUCAUUCAGAGCCCUAUGUAGCAAUACAGGGUGAUGGACUGCCUUUUGCAUAAUGAGCCUGCGAGUUGUGGUGUCUGGCAAGGUUAAGCAAACGCGAAGCCGUAGCGAAAGCGAGUCUGAAUAGGGCGCUUAGUCAGAUGCUGCAGACCCGAAACGAAGUGAUCUAUCCAUGAGCAAGUUGAAGCUAGUGUAAGAACUAGUGGAGGACUGAACCCAUAGGCGUUGAAAAGCCCCGGGAUGACUUGUGGAUAGGGGUGAAAGGCCAAUCAAACUUCGUGAUAGCUGGUUCUCUCCGAAAUAUAUUUAGGUAUAGCGUUGUGUCGUAAUAUAAGGGGGUAGAGCACUGAAUGGGCUAGGGCAUACACCAAUGUACCAAACCCUAUCAAACUCCGAAUACCUUAUAUGUAAUCACAGCAGUCAGGCGGCGAGUGAUAAAAUCCGUCGUCAAGAGGGAAACAACCCAGACUACCAGCUAAGGUCCCUAAAUCUUACUUAAGUGGAAAACGAUGUGAAGUUACUUAAACAACCAGGAGGUUGGCUUAGAAGCAGCCAUCCUUUAAAGAAAGCGUAAUAGCUCACUGGUCUAGUGAUUUUGCGCGGAAAAUAUAACGGGGCUAAAGUAAGUACCGAAGCUGUAGAUUUGCACACAACUUAGAUUAUUUAAAUUUAAAAUAUGAGAAGCUAAAUUUAUUUUUAUUUAUUUUUGCUUAUCUUUAUUCAUUUUUAUAGAGUAAAGAUAAAAACAAAAACUUCGUAAAAACAAUAAAAUAUAGUAAAAAACAAUAAAAAUAUUCUUAGACUAAAGUUAAGUAGUUUAAGUUGUGUGCAAGUGGUAGGAGAGCGUUCUAUUUGCGUCGAAGGUAUACCGGUAAGGAGUGCUGGAGCGAAUAGAAGUGAGCAUGCAGGCAUGAGUAGCGAUAAUUAAUGUGAGAAUCAUUAACGCCGUAAACCCAAGGUUUCCUACGCGAUGCUCGUCAUCGUAGGGUUAGUCGGGUCCUAAGUCGAGUCCGAAAGGGGUAGACGAUGGCAAAUUGGUUAAUAUUCCAAUACCAACAUUAGUGUGCGAUGGAAGGACGCUUAGGGCUAAGGGGGCUAGCGGAUGGAAGUGCUAGUCUAAGGUCGUAGGAGGUUGUACAGGCAAAUCCGUAUAACAAUACUCCGAGAACUGAAAGGCUUUUUGAAGUCUUCGGAUGGAUAGAAGAACCCCUGAUGCCGUCGAGCCAAGAAAAGUUUCUAAGUUUAGCUAAUGUUGCCCGUACCGUAAACCGACACAGGUGGGUGGGAUGAGUAUUCUAAGGCGCGUGGAAGAACUCUCUUUAAGGAACUCUGCAAAAUAGCACCGUAUCUUCGGUAUAAGGUGUGGUUAGCUUUGU
rnacentral:rRNA from 1 species